GAAAUGCGAUAAGUAGUGUGAAUUGCAGAAUUCAGUGAAUCAUCGAAUCUUUGAACGCACAUUGCGCCCCCUGGCAUUCCGGGGGGCAUACCUGUUCGAGCGUCAUCGCACCCCUCAAGCGCUGCUUGGUGUUGGGCGUCUUGUCCCCCCGUGGCGGGGGACUCGCCCCAAAGACAUCGGCGGCUUGCACGGCGUCCGUGGCCCACAGCACAACGUGGUUGCCCGCAGACGCGCCCGCAAGCGUGCCGCAAAACCGACGCCCCCUUUUCGUGGCUCCUCUGGAUGGACCUCGGAUCAGGUAGGAAUACCCGCUGAACUUAAGC
rnacentral:misc_RNA from 1 species